AUACGUAGGGGGCAAGCGUUAUCCGGAAUCACUGGGCGUAAAGGGUGCGUAGGCGGCAAGGCAAGUCUGAUGUGAAAACCCGGGGCUCAACCCCGGGACUGCAUUGGAAACUGCUUAGCUAGAGUGUCGGAGAGGUAAGUGGAAUUCCUAGUGUAGCGGUGAGAUUCGUAGAUAUUAGGAGGAACACCAGUGGCGAAGGCGACUUACUGGACUGUAACUGACACUGAGGCACGAAAGCGUGGGUAGC
rnacentral:rRNA from 1 species